rnacentral:rRNA from 1 species
GACGAACGCUGGCGGCGUGCUUAACACAUGCAAGUCGAGCGGUAAGGCCCUUUCGGGGGUACACGAGCGGCGAACGGGUGAGUAACACGUGGGUGACCUGCCCUCAGCUCUGGGAUAAGCCUGGGAAACCGGGUCUAAUACCGGAUAUGACUCCAUGACGCAUGUUGUGGGGUGGAAAGCCUUGUGCGGCUGAGGAUGGGCCCGCGGCCUAUCAGCUUGUUGGUGGGGUGAUGGCCUACCAAGGCGACGACGGGUAGCCGGCCUGAGAGGCGACCGGCCACACUGGGACUGAGACACGGCCCAGACUCCUACGGGNGGCAGCAGUGGGGAAUCUUGCGCAAUGGGCGAAAGCCUGACGCAGCGACGCCGCGUGAGGGAUGACGGCCU